GGAGGGUAGUGCCCAAUGGCGGGCAACCGGUCUCGAAAACCGGGCCAUCGGAAACGAUGGGGGUUCGAUUCCUCUACCUUCCGCCA
rnacentral:tRNA from 1 species